CAGGUGGGCGGCAGGACUACACAUGCAGUCGUACGGUGGACAGGCAGCAGCUUGCUGCUUUGCUGACGAGUGGCGGACGGGUGAGUAAUGUCUGGGAAACUGCCUGAUGGAGGGGGAUAACUACUGGAAACGGUAGCUAAUACCGCAUAACGUCGCAAGACCAAAGAGGGGGACCUUCGGGCCUCUUGCCAUCGGAUGUGCCCAGAUGGGAUUAGCUAGUAGGUGGGGUAACGGCUCACCUAGGCGACGAUCCCUAGCUGGUCUGAGAGGAUGACCAGCCACACUGGAACUGAGACACGGUCCAGACUCCUACGGGAGGCAGCAGUGGGGAAUAUUGCACAAUGGGCGCAAGCCUGAUGCAGCCAUGCCGCGUGUAUGAAGAAGGCCUUCGGGUUGUAAAGUACUUUCAGCGGGGAGGAAGGCGAUAAGGUUAAUAACCUUGUCGAUUGACGUUACCCGCAGAAGAAGCACCGGCUAACUCCGUGCCAGCAGCCGCGGUAAUACGGAGGGUGCAAGCGUUAAUCGGAAUUACUGGGCGUAAAGCGCACGCAGGCGGUCUGUCAAGUCGGAUGUGAAAUCCCCGGGCUCAACCUGGGAACUGCAUUCGAAACUGGCAGGCUAGAGUCUUGUAGAGGGGGGUAGAAUUCCAGGUGUAGCGGUGAAAUGCGUAGAGAUCUGGAGGAAUACCGGUGGCGAAGGGCGGCCCCCUGGACAAAGACUGACGCUCAGGUGCGAAAGCGUGGGGGAGCAAGC
rnacentral:rRNA from 1 species